rnacentral:rRNA from 1 species
UUAAAAAGGUCAAGCUACAAAGGGCGCAUGGUGAAUGCCUUGGCAUCAGGAGCCGAUGAAGGACGUGAUAAGCUGCGAUAAGCUUCGGGUAGGCGCACAUAGCCAGAGAUCCGGAGAUUUCCGAAUGGGGAAACCCGCAUGAGAAACCUCAUGCAUCGUAAAGUGAAUACAUAGCUUUAUGAAGGAACACCUAGGGAACUGAAACAUCUAAGUACCUAGAGGAAGAGAAAGAAAAAUCGAUUUUCUUAGUAGCGGCGAGCGAAAAGGAAAGAGCCCAAACCAGAGAUUUAUCUCUGGGGUUGCGGACAGAACAUAACGUGAAAUUAUGAUUAACCGAACACAACUGGAAAGUUGGACCGUAGGAGGUAAUAGUCCUGUAAGUAAAAGUCAUAAUGAUCAGUUCUGCACCAGAGUACCACGAGACACGUGAAACCUUGUGGGAAGCAGGGAGGACCACCUCCCAAGGCUAAAUACUACCUGAUGACCGAUAGUGAAGCAGUACCGUGAGGGAAAGGUGAAAAGAACCCCGGGAGGGGAGUGAAAUAGAACCUGAAACCAUGUGCCUACAACCGAUCAAAGCACCUUAUGUGUGUGAUGAUGUGCUUUUUGUAGAACGAGCCAACGAGUUACGGUAUGUAGCGAGGUUAAGUACUUAAGGUACGGAGCCGAAGGGAAACCGAGUCUUAAUAGGGCGACUAGUUGCAUGCUGUAGACCCGAAACCGGGUGACCUAUCCAUGGCCAGGUUGAAGCGAGGGUAAAACCUCGUGGAGGACCGAACCACGUUGCUGUUGAAAAAGCAUGGGAUGAGCUGUGGAUAGCGGAGAAAUUCCAAUCGAACUCGGAUAUAGCUGGUUCUCCUCGAAAUAGCUUUAGGGCUAGCGUCGUGAAAUGUGAGUACUGGAGGUAGAGCACUGAAUAGGCUAGGGGGCAUAGCGCUUACCGAACCUUAUCAAACUCCGAAUGCCAGAUACUAUCAGCACGGCAGUCAGACUAUGAAAGAUAAGUUCCAUGGUCAAAAGGGAAACAGCCCAGAUCGUCAGCUAAGGUCCCAAAGUGUAAGUUAAGUGGAAAAGGAUGUGGGAUUUCUAAGACAACUAGGAUGUUGGCUUAGAAGCAGCCACUCAUUAAAAGAGUGCGUAAUAGCUCACUAGUCAAGAGAUCCUGCGCCGAAAAUGUCCGGGGCUCAAACUUACCACCGAAGCUACGGGUUCAUACUUUGUAUGAGCGGUAGAGGAGCGUCGUAAUCGGGCUGAAGUCGUACCGUAAGGAGCGGUGGACUGAUUACGAGUGAGAAUGUUGGCAUUAGUAGCGAGAUGUAGGUGAGAAUCCUACAGGCCGAAUAUCUAAGGUUUCCUGAGUAAAGUUUGUCUUCUCAGGGUUAGUCGGGACCUAAGGCGAGGCCGAGAGGCGUAGUCGAUGGACAAUUGGUUGAUAUUCCAAUACCACUAUAAUCGUUAUUAUCGAUGGUGUGACGGAGAAGGAUAGGAUGUGCCAGCUAUUGGAUGCUGGUCUAAGCGUUGAGGGAGUUAGAACAGGCAAAUCCGUUCUAACAAUCCUAGGGCGUGAUGGGGAAGGUUCCACGGAACCGAAGUAUCUGAUUUCAUGCUUCCAAGAAAAGCAUCUAGAAAGAGAAGUAGUGCCCGUACCGCAAACCGACACAGGUAGAUGAGGAGAGAAUCCUAAGGCCGACGGAAGAAUCACAGUUAAGGAACUAGGCAAAUUGACCCCGUAACUUCGGGAGAAGGGGUGCCUACCAUUUGGUAGGCCGCAGAGAAUAGGCACAAGCAACUGUUUAACAAAA